CAGGAUGAACGCUAGCUACAGGCUUAACACAUGCAAGUCGAGGGGCAGCAUUGGAGUAGCAAUACUUCAGAUGGCGACCGGCGCACGGGUGAGUAACACGUAUCCAACCUGCCGCUUACUCGGGGAUAGCCUUUCGAAAGAAAGAUUAAUACCCGAUGGUAUAAAGAGUUCGCAUGUUCUCUUUAUUAAAGAAUUUCGGUAAGCGAUGGGGAUGCGUUCCAUUAGAUAGUUGGCGGGGUAACGGCCCACCAAGUCUACGAUGGAUAGGGGUUCUGAGAGGAAGGUCCCCCACAUUGGAACUGAGACACGGUCCAAACUCCUACGGGAGGCAGCAGUGAGGAAUAUUGGUCAAUGGACGAGAGUCUGAACCAGCCAAAAGUAGCGUGAAGGAUGACUGCCCUAUGGGUUGUAAACUUCUUUUAUAAGGGAAUAAAGUGAGGGACGUGUCCCUUUUUGUAUGUACCUUAUGAAUAAGGAUCGGCUAACUCCGUGCCAGCCGCCGC
rnacentral:rRNA from 1 species